CAUCAGCAUGUAGGUUCCAGAUCCAAGUGGUAGUCUCAGGUCCCUUAGCUAUGGUUCUUGAGAAAUGCCCCGGUUUGGCCCAUUCCUCGAAAGAAGUUUUUACGGGAUCCCUAUCUACCAAAAUUUUACUUCUGGUUCCGGCGAACGAAUAAUCAUUGAGUCCUCCUCUUUCCGGACAACACAUACAAAGAAACCCGCCAACAGUCAGUCCAGUGAUUAGUGAACCUAUGAGAGAUGCUUAGAAUUAGUUUCUUUCUCUUCUACUUCUAUCUCCCAUCUAUUUAUUUUCUUUAGUUAUUCACUAGAGCAAUUAUGUCUGGAAGUCGAUCCAGGGCAAGUGUUCGGAUCUAUUAUGACAUAUCCAGGAGGCGCUCAACGGACCUUUUGAAUCUUUUUUAAUCUUAUAAAACCCUUUACGGGCUUAAAAUUUGUCAAAAACCCUUUUUUUGUACAACCUUAGUGUAUUCAUAUCUCAAUUAGAAGUCCCGAAAUGCAGCUGCUACUUUAUGGCGUAUAUAGAAACAUAUUACUUUAUUCCAAGCAGUCAUUAGUAAUUACUAGGAUAAGAGACAUUCCUGCGAGGGGUCUCUUUUAUUAAUUUGAAUAGAAUAGGAGAAAAAUACAUUUUCUACCGUAUCCCUGUAUCGUUUAUCCUUAUGAAAUACCAGACGAAAUAGAACGAUCUUAGAAAGGAUAUAAUGAAAUUCCUUGAUUGUUUCUUACCAGAUAAAUGAUCCCUUUUAUAUUCCACUGAUAGGGCUAACAGACAAUUAAUUUUUAAUUAUACCAAACGAAAAUAGAUAUCGAAAUUCUAAAGAAAUAAAAUUCUAAAUAAAUAAACAGAGAGUUUCUUAUUCGAAACGUCCCGUGAUCUUCAACCAAUUCUGCGCUUGAAUAUAAUUACCAGGAGUAAGCGCAAUAGCUUUGUUUCCAAUACUCCGGCAGCUUGAUUGAACCAAGCCUCCGCAAUUUCAGAAUCUCCCUGUCGAACGGCCUGUUCCCCCGGUCGGAAUAGGUGGUUCAAUUCCUUUCCUUAGAACCGUACUUGAGAGUUUUCCCGCCUCAUACGGCUCGGCAAUCAAUUCUUUUGGUGUCCCGGGUUUUUGAAUCUAGUAUAUCGAAUUGAAUGAGAUUUCUCAUAGAUCGAUCUUUAUCUUUAUUCUUUUUUUGGGGGGUUAACCAAAAGAGGUUAAUUCCAUGAGCAUGAGUUUCAAACUUGACUUUGAUUAAAUUAAUAAUCAGCUUUGCUUUCAUUUUAUCUUUUCUCCCACCGUCAGAAGAAUAACAUAGAAGCAUUUCCACUAUAGUUAGAAUUUUCUGAAAGGUAUCUAUCUCGGUUUCAUAUAAAAAUUGAUAUAGAAUCUUUGAAAAAGCCCUUUCUUCCUAAGAAAGAAAAGGCUUACUGUCUUUGGGAUCUGAUGCUACACCGCUGCUCAAUACCUUAGGGGAUCGACUUUAUUACAUAAGUGGAUUCCUUACUUUUAUCUCAUAUCAUGACAUAAAUAAGCAGUUCUUAUUGGAUCGGCAUCGGCCCAAAACUCGCGAAUUGAUCUUAUUACGGGUGCUUCCUCUAUCAAUUAGAUCCUUUAUCCAUAGAAUAAACUAUCUAGGCAUAUCGAUUUCUUCAUAUUUCGACUUCUAAUGAAGUUUCUUUCUUUGCUACAGCUGAUAAAAAUCGUUUUUGCACGAUGCAUAUGUAAGAAAGCCUAUUUUUUUUUUUUUCGAGUAUUUAUUAGUGUAUUUGCUCUUUACCCCCCUCCUUUUUUUUUUUCUUUUACUUUUUUCUUUCUAUAGUAGAGAUAGUCGCACGUAAUGACAGAUCACAGCCAUAUUAUUAAAAGCUUGUGGUAAGAACGGAUUUCGUUCUAGUGCCCGAAAAUAAUAUUCUAAAGCUUUUGUAUGUUCUCCGUUACUUGUGUGGAUAAGGCCUAUGUUAUAGAGUAUAUAGCUUCGAUCGUAAGGAUCAAUUUCUAGUCGCAUAGCUUCAUAAUAAUUCUGUAAAGCUUCCGCAUAAUUGCCUUCAGAUUGAGCUGACAUCCGUUACGGUCGUCAUUCGAUUCAAAGAAUUCUCCGUUUCAAAAACCGUACAUGAGAUGAAAAUCUCAUACGGCUCCUCCUUUAUGUGCAUUAUGAGAAUAAUCCAUGAAAUCAAAAAAGAUUGAAAUAUUCUCAUUAUGAACUAAGUGGGGCUAAUGUUUUUACAAGAAAUCUCUAGCCAACCUUCCUGCAAAAGCUUUUUUCUUAAUAUCACGCGUGUUGGUACUAGAUAAAACCGGAAACUCCAACAAUUUCUUUGUUCUCAACGCCCCUUAAUUUACAGGAAUUAAUCACUUCAACAGUCUUCGAUGGUUAUACGGGUAUCCACAGUACGAACGAGAUGGAUGUUUGUUAUCCCAACCAUUCUUCUUAGUCCCGAUCCCGCUAAGGAAAGGGGGCAGCUUAUAACAAAGUUUUCGUGUUGCUGAUUCCUAGACGUAGCGCCUCUUCCCCUAUGCCGCCUAUUGGUACUGGUGUAGUAGGGUUGACUUGCAAUACAGAACCCAUAGGUGUAACCUUUCGCUCAAUACUAGAAUCGACAAUUGAAGCAUCUGAGGCUGCAUUAAUCGGGGAUACACGACAGAAGGAAUGGUUUUAUCUAUAAACUUCACCUUCAACAAGCGUAGAUUUUUUCAAUAAUCUUUUUUUUUUUUUUUUCUAUCCCGAAUUGUCUUUCUUUCUUCUAAGACCGAAAGGGGUAAAUAAAAAACUAAUCAAAUCGCACCAUCUCUGUAAUAGGUAAAUGCCUCUUUUUCUCCUACAGUUGUCGGAAUUAUUCGUAAUAAUAUAUUGGCUACAAUCGAAAAGGUCUUAUCAAUAAAAUUUCCGUUUAUCCGCGAUCUAGGCAUAGGUAAAAAUCCAUUCUAUAAUUCGUUUCAUUACCUCUUGUGAGAAAAUGAUCCCACAAACAAAGGAAUUGUACAGUACAAAAUAACAUAAAAGCAGACGUGUUAAAAAAAAUAAAAAAAAAAGACCGAUCCGUUGAUUCGUUCCAACUCAUUGAUUAAAUCAGGUAGAAAUAUCAGAAAAAAAAAAAAAAAGGAGCGCCAUCUUUGCAAACAAGAUAUAUAGCCUUAUUGUUUUUUGUUUUGAACAGUUUUUCACAAACAAAAAAGUUAUCCUUUUCCCCAGACUCAAAGGAAGAAUUUUUUCUUUGCUGAAAGGGUUUCUAUUUUUCUAGUUAGAACGGAUUCGAUUGUCCGUACCCAUCUACCAAUCGAAUUUGAACAACUCGCUAUUCACGCGGGUUCUCGGUCAUAAUCAUUGUGUAGGAGAGAUGGCCGAGUGGUUCAAGGCGUAGCAUUGGAAACUGCUAUGUAGAUCUUUUGUUUACCGGGGGUUCGAAUCCCUCUCUUUCCGUACUUGAACUAAUUCAUCAAUGUUACUGACCGGAAUGUAUCCAAGCCAAAAAAGAAUGAAUACCGAAGCAGUCAGACCUUUUUUUGAGCUAGAUUCUCAAUUCCUACGGGAAAGAAAGGGAAGGGGCAGGCAGGGAUAAAAAUCUACCCUCGGAUCUAUGAUACAUGAAUGGGAUAAAAAAAACUCCAACGGAUCAACUCCUUACCUUGUAUCCCUUUCCUUAAGUUAGGUGAAAGGGUAAAUUUGUACGAGCCCGUUAUUUUAGUUAGGUUUAAGUUUGACGAGAAUAAUAUUCUACGACAAGCAAUUCAUUUAUUUUCAAACCGACCCAUUGACUAUCUAUUAUUUGAUUGACUAAUCCUUUAUAUUGGAAUGCGCGAAGAGUCAAAUGCUUUGGCAAUUCCUCAUGGUGGGAUGAAUCAAGAUAAUUUUGAACCAGAGAUCUAGAUUUUGGGUCAUCCCUUACUGUAAUAAUAUCUCGGGGUUUGCAACGAUAACUUGGUAUAUCGACUAUACGACCAUUAACUAAAAUAUGUCGAUGGUUAACCAAUUGGCGGGCUUGAGGAAUAGUUGAAGCCAUACCCAAUCGAAAAAAAUGUUAUCCAAACGCAUUUCAAAGUUAAUUGUAGUAAAACCAGACCGGUUGACCUUUGGCUUUUUCUGGCGAUACGAACAUAUUUAAAGUAAUUGUCGUUCUGUAAGACCAUAAUGAAAACGCAAUUUUUGUUUUUCUUCUAAACGAAUUCGAUAUUGAGAUUUUUUACGGAGCGCAAUUGGUUUCUAAAAUCGCUUCCCGCUCUAGGCCUUUUACUCGUUAGUCCCGGCAAAGCCCCCAGACGGCGUAUUUUUUGAAACGAGGCCCUCGGUAACGUGACAUAAAGACUCCUUAUUUUAUUGAAUUUCAUAAACCUAAAUUAAAACUGAGCUACAUGAUAAAUGAAGCAAAAUCCGCUGAAGUAUUGUACUACAAAGAAUACUAAGAUGAUUGUAUCAAAUUCCAGACCCCUUUUUGUAUUGUAUACGCAUAUAGAAAUAUAAAUCAAAAGAGGGUUCCUUUUCUUGAUUUAUUCUGCCGAAAUCGAACUUCCUCCAACUUUUAUUCAUAAUUGGAAGCUCCUACAACAUACUGGAUCGAUGAUCCUUGGAAGAAGCCUUUUCAAUGUUCUUUUCUUUCAAAAGACAUUAUCAAUCAUGUAAAAAAUCAAACAAAUAGAGAAAAGCCGGCUAUCGGAAUCGAACCGAUGACCAUCGCAUUACAAAUGCGAUGCUCUAACCUCUGAGCUAAGCGGGCUUAAAUAAGAGAAAUUGUACAUGCGUAGGGAUCCUAGGAUCUUAUCUAUUAACCUUUUAUUCUUAGCUAUUCAUAAAGAAUAAAAUAGAGAAUCGAAUUUUCAAAUAAAUGUUGAAUACUAUAGAUAUAGAACAUAACGAUUAAUCUAACAAUUACGAGAAUCUAGUGAUGAUAUAUAUUAGCGAAUUUGGAUUUUUUUAUCAAUUCUAUAUUGAUCAACAAUAAAUAUCUUACUCUUAAUUAGAUAAUAAAAUACGAUUUGAUUUAUUUAUUAUUUUUUUUUUUUUCAUUUUUGAAUUCAAGACAUUUAAAA
rnacentral:lncRNA from 1 species